rnacentral:rRNA from 1 species
UCUAGAGCUAAUACAUGUAUAACCGUAAUUAGUCUUGUAUUAAUUACUUGCAUUUAUUAGAUAAAACCAAAUGCUAGUAUGUGGCGAAAGUUGUAUAUUAGUAAGGUGAUUCUAGAUAACUGAGCAGAUUGCAUGGCCUUGAGCUGGCAAUAUUUCGAUUGAAUUUCUGCCCUAUCAACUGUUGAUGGUAAGGCAGAGGCUUACCAUGGUUGCAACGGGUAACGGGGAAUCAGGGUUCGAUUCCGGAGAGGGAGCCUGAGAAACGGCUACCACAUCCAAGGGAGGCAGCAGGCGCGCAAAUUACCCAAUCCAGACAAUGGGAGGUGGUAACCAGAAGUACUGUGUGGUAGACAAUGUCUACUAAUCACGGAAUGAGCAUAAAAUAAACAUUUUGUCGAGUAACGACUGGAGGGCAAGUCUGGUGCCAGCAGCCGCGGUAAUUCCAGCUCCAGUAGCAUGCCGUAAAGUUGUUGCGUUUAAAACGCUCGUAGUCGGAUCAUACAGUAUCAAAUAGUUGACUAGCAUUGGUAGACAAUCAAACUCUAAUCUACUAGCUUUUAUCAUUAAUUUGUUAGAGUUAGUAGAGGUGGGUGUAUACCGUGUUAGUUGUUCGCUAUUAGAUACUAUUUGCAUGUAAGAAUGAUGAUUGGCCUUUAGUGCGUUGGUCAUCGUGUCUUACAGAGUGUGCCUUGAAUAAAUCAUAGUGCUUAAAGCAGGCUAGUGCCUGAAUGAUACAGCAUGGAACGAACAAACGUGUAACGUGUUUAUUGUAUAACGUAAAAAUUAUACAAUAUAACAUAUCACCAACCACCAUGUACGGAUGUUGGUUUCCGUAUUGGGGGUGAGGAUUAAAACGAGCGGUUGGGGGGCAUUGGUAUU